rnacentral:rRNA from 1 species
AUUACCCAAUCCUGACACAGGGAGGUAGUGACAAGAAAUAACAAUACGGGGCUUAAAGUCUUGUAAUUGGAAUGAUGGGAAUCUAAACCCCUUCCAGAGUAUCAAUUGGAGGGCAAGUCUGGUGCCAGCAGCCGCGGUAAUUCCAGCUCCAAUAGCGUAUAUUAAACUUGUUGCAGUUAAAAAGCUCGUAGUUGAACUUCUGCUGUCAGGUUUUCGUUCCUUUCGGGGUUUCGUCAACCUGGUGGCUUUUUUCUGGGUGAAUUUAGCUUCGGCUUAAUUUCCCAGUAUUUUACUUUGAGAAAAUUAGAGUGCUUCAAGCAGGCUUUUGCCGUGAAUACUUCAGCAUGGAAUAAUAAAGUAGGACUUUGGUUCUAUUUUGUUGGUUCCUGAACCAAAGUAAUGGUUAAUAGGAACAGUUGGGGGCAUUCGUAUUUAA